ACAGAAGCAUAAGCACACAGUUGGUGAACAUCUGAGAAUCAAGCCUGUGUCAUCUACUAUUACAAGAAGAUUUAGUAAAGAAGAAACCAUGGGGAAGCAUUCGGUGAUGCAGAGGAUGUCAUGCAAGCAACUGUUUCAUAUACAGCAAAGCAAACCAGUAAUGUGAAAGUCAGUGAGUUAAGGCAAGCAAAGAAACCAAAGCAGAAGAGUGGAAGAAUAAGCACACAGCACUGUGCAGUUCCCGAUUUCCUGGUUUUCUACUACAAAGUGGACGCAUCUACAAUUUGAAGCAAUAAACUGCAGCACAUAUUGCA
rnacentral:lncRNA from 1 species